rnacentral:rRNA from 1 species
ACUAACAGGAUUCCCCUAGUAACUGCGAGUGAAGCGGGAAAAGCUCAAAUUUAAAAUCUGGCGGUCUUUGGCCGUCCGAGUUGUAAUCUAGAGAAGUAAUGCCCGUGCUGGACCGUGUAUAAGUCUCCUGGGAUGGGGCGUCAUAGAGGGUGAGAAUCCCGUCUUUGACACGGACUACCAGUGCAUUGUGGUAUGCUCUCAAAGAGUCGAGUUGUUUGGGAAUGCAGCUCAAAAUGGGUGGUAAAUUCCAUCUAAAGCUAAAUAUUGGCGAGAGACCGAUAGCGAACAAGUACCGUGAGGGAAAGAUGAAAAGAACUUUGGAAAGAGAGUUAAACAGUACGUGAAAUUGCUGAAAGGGAAACGCUUGAAGUCAGUCGCGUUGGCCGGGGAUCAGCCUUGCUUUUGCAUGGUGUACUUUCUGGUUGACGGGUCAGCAUCAAUUUUGACCGCUGGAAAAGGGCCUGGGGAAUGUGGCAGCUUCGGCUGUGUUAUAGCCCCUGGUCACAUACGGCGGUUGGGAUUGAGGAACUCAGCACGCCGCAAGGCCGGGUUUCGACCACGUUCGUGCUUAGGAUGCUGGCAUAAUGGCUUUAAGCGACCCGUCUUGAAACACGGACCAAGGAGUCUAACAUGCCUGCGAGUAUUUGGGUGAAAAACCCGAGUGCGCAAUGAAAGUGAAAGUUGAGAUCCCUGUCGUGGGGAGCAUCGACGCCCGGACCAGAACUUUUGGGACGGAUCCGCGGUGGAGCAUGUAUGUUGGGACCCGAAAGAUGGUGAACUAUGCCUGAAUAGGGUGAAGCCAGAGGAAACUCUGGUGGAGGCUCGUAGCGAUUCUGACGUGCAAAUCGAUCGUCAAAUUUGGGUAUAGGGGCGAAAGACUAAUCG